GUGCAGCAGGCGAGAAUUUUUUGCAAUGCACGCAAGUGUGACAAAGUGAACCAGAGUGCUUUUCAUAUUGAAAGGCUUUUGUGAAAUGUAAAAAGUUUCACGAAUAAGGAUUGGGUAAGACUAGUGCCAGCCGCCGCGGUAAUACCAGCGGUCCAAGUGGGACUCACAUUUACUGGGUCUAAAACAUCCGUAGCUGGUUUUGUAAGUUUCCUGUUAAAUUGUUACUCUUAAGGUAACAGCUGCAAGAAAUACUGCAAGGCUAGAGACUGGGAGACGUAGCAAGUACAGGAGGGGUAGUGGUAAAAUACGUUAAUCUCUUCUGGACUAACAAUGGCGAAGGCAUGCUACGAGAACAGCUCUGACAGUCAUGGAUGAAGGCGAGGGGCGCAAAACGGAUUAGAUACCCCCGUAGUCC
rnacentral:rRNA from 1 species